UCGCAAACCGGUUAGCCAUUUUGAUUUUGUUGUUUGCAAUUUGCAUGCUGAGCAUUUUUUAAGUUUCAAAUAUUAAUAUAUCUACGUACCUAUUUAACUAUUAUAUUUAAACUAUUUAUUGUGAAACGCCUCUGGAUAUUUAGUUUCAUCUGAUUUGAAGUCUGGCCUGGAACAUUCAUUGGAAAGUUGGAAAAAGAAUUUAGCGAUUUGUCACGAAAACGGCUAGUUGAUACCCAGGAAGUGUCUGAAAUCCUCGAUUAAAGAGACGAGGUGGAAUUCAGUUAGUGCACUAUGAGUAGCGCUCUAAUGGAAGGAGAGUGUUCUCCAGUAAGUGUGAGCAGGAGUGUCUUAACGUAGUAUCGGUUGGCCAAGGCAGUUACCGUUAUUGACUCCUCGAGGCAUGGCAGUGGAGUGUUAGAGUGAGCAUCCAGGUCUACCGUUUUUCUUCACCGGACACCGGACGGUAAUUUUACAGAGUAAAUUUCCAAUCAGCGCAUGAAGAUCAUUGAAGACAACUACCUGUAAACUUGCCUGUAAAUACCCCGAGAAAUAUCUCGAGAAAAUUGACGAUCAAGUUGCCGUAUAUAGCUGGAUGGCAAAACCGUCAUGUAUCACUGCGCGACCUAGAUAAGAAUUAAUAGUGUU